CCUACGGGAGACAGCAGUGAGGAAUAUUGGUCAAUGGACGAGAGUCUGAACCAGCCAAGUAGCGUGAAGGAUGACUGCCCUAUGGGUUGUAAACUUCUUUUAUAUGGGAAUAAAAUGUUCCACGUGUGGGAUUUUGUAUGUACCAUAUGAAUAAGGAUCGGCUAACUCCGUGCCAGCAGCCGCGGUAAUACGGAGGGUCCGAGCGUUAUCCGGAUUUAUUGGGUUUAAAGGGAGCGUAGGUGGAUUGUUAAGUCAGUUGUGAAAGUUUGCGGCUCAACCGUAAAAUUGCAGUUGAAACUGGCAGUCUUGAGUACAGUAGAGGUGGGCGGAAUUCGUGGUGUAGCGGUGAAAUGCUUAGAUAUCACGAAGAACUCCGAUUGCGAAGGCAGUUCACUGGACUGCAACUGACACUGAGGCUCGAAAGUGUGGGUAUCAAACAGGAUUAGAUACCCGUGUAGUC
rnacentral:rRNA from 1 species